UACGAACUGUGCGAACGUUAUUCGGAAUCACUGGGCUUACAGGGUGCGUAGGCGGCUUUUCAAGUCAGGUGUGAAAGCCCCCGGCUCAACCGGGGAAUUGCGCUUGAAACUGGAGAGCUCGAGUCAGCUAGAGGUGCACGGAACUUCCAGUGGAGCGGUGAAAUGUGUUGAUAUUGGAAGGAACACCAGAGGCGUAAGCGGUGCACUGGGGCUGGUCUGACGCUGAGGCACGAAAGCCAGGGUAGCGAACGGG
rnacentral:rRNA from 1 species